rnacentral:rRNA from 1 species
UCUACGGGAGGCAGCAGUGGGGAAUAUUGCACAAUGGGGGAAACCCUGAUGCAGCGACGCCGCGUGAGUGAAGAAGUAUCUCGGUACGUAAAGCUCUAUCAGCAGGGAAGAAAAUGACGGUACCUGACUAAGAAGCCCCGGCUAACUACGUGCCAGAAGCCGCGGUAAUACGUAGGGGGCAAGCGUUAUCCGGAUGUACUGGGUGUAAAGGGAGCGUAGACGGAAACUCAAGUCUGGAGUGAAAUCCCGGGGCUGAACCCCGGAACUGCUUUGGAAACUGUGCGGAUGGAGUGAAGGAGGGGUAAGCGGAAUUCCUAGUGUAGCGGUGAAAUGCGUAGAUAUUAGGAGGAACACCGGUGGCGAAGGCGGCUUACUGGACUGUAACUGACGUUGAGGCUCGAAAGCGUGGGGAGCAAACAGGAGUAGAUACCCGAGUAGUC